AUUGAACGCUGGCGGCAUGCCUUACACAUGCAAGUCGAACGGUAACGCGGGGCAACCUGGCGACGAGUGGCGAACGGGUGAGUAAUGCAUCGGAACGUGCCCAGUAGUGGGGGAUAGCCCGGCGAAAGCCGGAUUAAUACCGCAUACGACCUAAGGGUGAAAGCGGGGGAUCGCAAGACCUCGCGCUAUUGGAGCGGCCGAUGUCAGAUUAGGUAGUUGGUGGGGUAAAAGCCUACCAAGCCGACGAUCUGUAGCUGGUCUGAGAGGACGACCAGCCACACUGGGACUGAGACACGGCCCAGACUCCUACGGGAGGCAGCAGUGGGGAAUUUUGGACAAUGGGGGCAACCCUGAUCCAGCCAUGCCGCGUGCGGGAAGAAGGCCUUCGGGUUGUAAACCGCUUUUGUCAGGGAAGAAACGCUCUGGGCUAAUACCCCGGGGUAAUGACGGUACCUGAAGAAUAAGCACCGGCUAACUACGUGCCAGCCGCCGCCGUAAGAC
rnacentral:rRNA from 1 species